CAAGAGAGGUAUGAAGUUUCAAAUUUAGAGAAAAGAUUACAAACCAUUAAAGCUAUGGUUUUUAGCAGCGGAAAACAUACGCGACGAUUACAACACGUCAUUAAGACGGAUGUCAUGCUAAGCCCAGGCACGACAUCACUCGGUAUCACCAAUGUUGGUCAGGGACGGAUCCCAUUCCACGGACCAAUCUUCUGGAAGAGCACAGGGCUAUGACAAGGAAAGAGUAGGGUCUUCAAGGGCUUUACCUGAAAAACAUAAAAC
rnacentral:lncRNA from 1 species